GGUGAACGCUGGCGGUAGGCCUAACACAUGCAAGUCGAACGGAAGCACAGUAAGAGCUUGCUCUUACGGGUGGCGAGUGGCGGACGGGUGAGGAAUAGAUCGGCAUCUACUUUUUCGUGGGGGAUAACGUGGGGAAACUUACGCUAAUACAGCAUACGACCUACGGGUGAAAGCAGGGGAUCUUCGGACCUUGCGCGAUUGAAUGAGCCGAUGUCGGAUUAGCUAGUUGGCAGGGUAAAGGCCCACCAAGGCAACGAUCCGUAGCCGGUCUGAGAGGAUGAUCAGCCACACUGGAACUGAGACACGGUCCAGACUCCUACGGGAGGCAGCAGUGGGGAAUAUUGCACAAUGGGCGCAAGCCUGAUCCAGCCAUACCGCGUGGGUGAAGAAGGCCUUCGGGUUGUAAAGCCCUUUUGUUGGGAAAGAAAAGCAGCAUGUUAAUACCCCGCUGUUCUGACGGUACCCAAAGAAUAAGCACCGGCUAACUUCGUG
rnacentral:rRNA from 1 species